rnacentral:pre_miRNA from 1 species
CUUUGCCUGAACGCAAGACUCUUCAACCUCAGGACUUGCAGAAUUGGUAGAAUGCCGUCCUAAGGUUGUUGAGUUCUGUGUUUGGAGGC